AUUGAACGCUGUCGGCAGGCCUAACACAUGCAAGUCGAGCGAGCGGCGGACGGGUGAGUAAUGCCUGGGAAUUGCCCAGUCGAGGGGGAUACCAGUUGGAAACGACUGCUAAUACCGCAUACGAUUGGAUUGCCUCUGUGGGAUUAGCUAGUUGGUGAGGUACAGGCCCACCAAGGCGACGAGCCCUAGCUGGUGUUAGAGGAUGAUCAGCCAAACUGGAACUGAGACACGGUCCAGACUCCUAAGGGAGGCAGCAGUGGGGAAUAGUGCACAAUGGGGGAAACCCUGAGGGAGCCAUGACGCGUGUGUGAAGAAGGCCUUCGGGUUGUAAAGCACUUUCAGCGAGGAGGAGUUACUCGCAGAAGAAGCACCGGCUAACUCCGUGCCAGCAGCCGCGGUAAUAC
rnacentral:rRNA from 1 species